CUCUUGGACUCACUUGCUAUUCUCGAAAAAGGGGAAAGGAUUUGGGGUGGACAAUCGCGGAGCCUCUCGCUGGCUUUAGGGAGAGAGGACUGGGGUAGAGGAGAGCCCCAGGGAGCAGGCAGAGGUGGGUUGGCUAGGGCCUUGUGUGACUUGGGCUGAGAAACUUCACUUAUUCCCUGGCGCUGGCAGUUGUCAAACUGGGUCUUGUAGAUGCUAAGUCUCCAUAGAGGUAUCGUAGUUUGGUGACAAGGAUGGAACACCUUGAGUGAGCCUUUCCACUGGGCAAAUUGGAGGAUGUGUAGCCAUCUUCGGUCAGACAAGAGGCCUUGUUUGCUGAAGUCUUUCUUAAACACAUUGACUCAGAUAUUCUUUCUGGGAGCCCUGAGCCCUUCUAACCUCCAGUUCGUCCAUCAACUGAUUACUGCUCAGUCACCUCAGAUGAUACCACUGGGAGCCAGAGAACUGCCUAGCUGUGCCCUGCCUGAAUGUCUGACUCAUAACUCAUGGUGGAUGACCUUUUUCCUGAAGAAACUGCUGCAGAAUGAAAGCUCCAGGGGCUUGGGUGCAGCAAGUAGGCUAUGCAUUUCCCACCAGCAGGAAUCUAGCUCCUGGCCAAGGUGAGCCACGCAGAGCAGCAGCCACAGGUAUCAUCCUCCCGGGAGGCAGAUCCCAAUUCGCGGAGAAGACCUGGCCAGCGGGAGGAUGCCAGCCUCAUCCUCAAGGCUGGGAUUGGGACUCUUUCCAGAAGGAACGACCUCUGUGCUUGAGUUGGUUGGGGGGCGCAAUGGAUUCUUUAACACUGGGGAAAUUCAUACAGAUGAAAGUGGGAGACACAUGGCAGUGAACUAUAAACGUCAGCCAGGUCUUAGAAACGCUGGGGGAGGGACACACAAACCUUGUGAGAAGAAAAAUAAGCUUUUGUGGAAGUGAGGUUUGGAGGCCAAGAGUCCUUUAAGCGUCUUAAAGGAUCCACUGUGCAUCCUUUGUUAGUGGUGGGUGUGCUUCCUCCAACCCUAGCCUUUGGUUUACUUUUAUGUGCCACGGGAUUCUGUUGCUCCAGGGAUACCAGGCUCUUUAGAAGCCAUUCUAGCAGCUGGUCUCUGCUUGGGAAUGUACAAGUGUUGGCUCUGGGACAUGUAAUCACCUGUGCCUCCUGAUGUGGUUUCCAAGCAUCCACUGAGGUUUCUUUCACUUUGGGGGAAAAGAUGAGAGGCCCUGUGCUUAAACAAUUUGGAAGCAGAAAUCCAAACACCAGGGACCUGAGUGCAGCAAGGGCAGGGUCCUGGGAGGGCCUCUCCAGAAACCGUUCUCCUUCUGGAGGGAGGAUGGGGUCAUCUUUGCUGAGCAGAAGGCAGCGAUGGUUUCCUUUUAGAUGCUGUGGGUGCCCCUGUCAGCAAGAGCCCCAGGUGUGGCCUCAGGGGUGGGGAGGAGAGCUCUUUCAGUGUUGCCUUAGGUGUGUGUCUGUGUGUGUCCUAACCCAGUCCUUCCCACACUCCCCCACGUGCUGAUCACGACGAGCACCUCUAAGUCCUGGGUCUUUGCAUUAGAAAGUUAUUUGUUAGGGGUACAGGGGGCAGAGAAGGCACCUGGCACUCAUCCUCACCUCCAACUCCCAUGCUUGGGCAGGAUGUCUUUGUCCCUGAGUGAGGUGACGAGCUUUGCUGGCCCCACAGUCUUACCUGCCUGGUCGGGUGAGCCAAGGGGGACCCUGUCCAUGAUGUCUGGGCCAAGAUGUCCCUGUUGGCGACCCUGGCGGGUCCUCUGUCCUGCUGCUGCUCCUGUGGUCACGUAGGGGGUCUGCUUCUCAUGGACCCACCACCCCCGUGUAGUUGUAAUGCAAGUGAGGGGUUCUAAUUUUGUCAGCUUUAUCUUAGUGCAAUAAAGGUUAAUAUCACAGAACCGAAAACAAA